UUUCCGUUGGUGAACCAGCGGAGGGAUCAUUACCGAGCAUACAACUCCCAAAGCACUGUGAACAUACCCUUUAUUCCCUCUGCGGUGACUGCUUUCGCAGCCCGCCACAGGAGCCAAACCCAAGAUUGUAUACUGACUCUUCGGAGUAAAUGCUUAUAAAAACUAAAACUUUCUACAACGGAUCAUUUGGUUCCUGCAUCGAUUAAGAACGCAACUGUCAAGAACAGCACACUUCUGUACCCCAUCCAUUACGAACGCACCCGUAUGGCUGACUCCACC
rnacentral:misc_RNA from 1 species